GACGAAGGGGGCAAGCGUUGUUCGGAAUUACUGGGCGUAAAGGGCGCGUAGGCGGUUAUUUAAGUCAGGCGUGAAAGCCCUGGGCUCAACCUGGGAGUGGCGCUUGAUACUGGAGGACUAGAGAGUGGGAGAGGUUGGUGGAAUUCCCAGUGUAGAGGUGAAAUUCGUAGAUAUUGGGAAGAACACCGGUGGCGAAGGCGGCCAACUGGACCAUUUCUGACGCUGAGGCGCGAAAGCGUGGGGAGCAAACAGG
rnacentral:rRNA from 1 species